GGAUUGUGGCUCAGUGGCAGAGCUCUUGCCUAGCACAUGUGAGGCACCGAGUUCAAACCUCAGCACCA
rnacentral:tRNA from 1 species